CUUCAAUAUCGUUUUAGCAACAGAAAGUGAUACGCAGAGAUAUAAUUUCGGGCUACCUCAUCAUUUUUAUCCCUUGUCUCGAAGCCUUAACAGAGAGAGGUGAGAAGCACCUUUCUUUUGCCAAGAGGCUUCGAUCAGAUUCAAUCGACCCUGAGUGUUAUCUCAUAUUUGAGGUUAAGCGGGAAGUUUGAGUAAAAGUUGGUUAUACAUAUCAACAAUGGAGGACAUUCCGAUCGCAAUGAGAGCCAAGCGCAAGCGUGGCCGCCCGCGCAAGGACAGCAACCUCUGCAGCGCAUCCACCUUACCCUCACCGGAGUACUCAACCCUCAUGAGAAACCACACCGCCAAUCAAUCCAUCUACCCGACUCCUCCGGCACCAGCAGCAGAUCCCGACAAGAACCCC